rnacentral:rRNA from 2 species
UAUAUGCUUGUCUCAAAGAUUAAGCCAUGCAUGUCUGAGUACAGACCGAUCUAAGGUGAAACCGCGAAUGGCUCAUUAAAUCAGUCAUAAUUCCUUGGGUAGUGAAAAACUUUCCUCGGAUAACUGUGGAAAAUCCAGAGCUAAUACGUGCAACUGAGCUCCGACCUCGGCGUAAGCCGUGGGAAGAGCGCAUUUAUUAAUUUCAAAACUGACCGGUGUACUCCUUCGGGAUAUGCCGUUUGUCAAAAUGUUUGAUGACUCCGGAUAACUAAGCCGAGCGCUACGGUCUCUUGUACCGGCGCCGUAUCUUUCAAGUGUCUGCCUUAUCAGCUUUCGAUUGUAGGUUAAACGCCUACAAUGGCUGUAACGGGUAACGGGGAAUCAGGGUUCGAUUCCGGAGAGGGAGCCUGAGAAACGGCUACCACAUCUAAGGAAGGCAGCAGGCACGCAAAUUACCCACUCCUAGCCCAGGGAGGUAGUGACGAAAAAUAACGAUGCGAGACUCUUCCGAGGCCUCGCAAUCGGAAUGAGUCUAUUAUAAAUGUAUGGACGAGGAUCCAUUGGAGGGCAAGUCUGGUGCCAGCAGCCGCGGUAAUUCCAGCUCCAAUAGCGUAUAUUAAAGUUGCUGCGGUUAAAAAGCUCGUAGUUGGAUCUACUAAACCUAUUCGUGGGUGAGUCGCUCUUUGUACUAACGAAUCGCGCGGUUCCUUGACGAAGUUGUUUGUCAGUGUUAACGUUUCUCGGUCCUUCGGGCCCGAGAGCCUAACCGACUCGAACCGAGUCUCUGUGGACGGUGAAUCGUGGUUAUAAGGGUAUAGCUCGCUCGCGUUUGGUACAAUUAAAAUUUUGUCGGCUCGCUCGGAGUGCUCUUUACCGAGUGUUCCAGGGUGGCCGACACGUUCACUUUGAAAAAAUUAGAGUGCUUAAAGCGGGCCUUUCGAAAGGGCUUAAAUGUCUGUGCAUGGAAUGAAGUAACAGGACCUCGAUUCUGUUGUUUUUGUCGGUUUUAAUGAACCGAGGUAAUGAUUAAAAGGGACAGACGGUGGCAUUAGUAUUGCGACGCUAGAGGUGAAAUUCUUGGACCGUCGCAAGACUAACUACUGCGAAGGCAUUUGCCGAGAAUGUUUUCGUUAAUCAAGAACGAAAGUUAGAGGAUCGAAGGCGAUCAGAUACCGCCCUAGUUCUAACCCUAAACUAUGCUAACUAGCGAUCCGCCGGAGUCAUUCCCACGACCCGGCGGGAAGCCCCAGGGAAACCAAAGUCUUUGAGUUCCGGGGGAAGUAUGGUUGCAAAGCUGAAACUUAAAGGAAUUGACGGAAGGGCACCACCAGGAGUGGAGCCUGCGGCUUAAUUUGACUCAACACGGGAAACCUCACCAGGCCCGGACAUCAGAAGGACUGACAGGUUGAGAGCUCUUUCUCGAUUCGAUGGGUGGUGGUGCAUGGCCGUUCUUAGUUGGUGGAGUGAUCUGUCUGGUUGAUUCCGAUAACGAACGAGACUCUACCUUACUAACUAGUCGGCGGAUCGUAACCCUGAGAUGGUUAGUGUGUAUACGAGAGUGUCAUUGCCUAGGCAUUAUUUUCUCCAUCGAGGGGGGUCGUAAAACUAGACUAGUCGUUUUAUACGAUGAAAAUGGUUCGCUGCGUCUCUUUUUGGUCGGGAGAUUUUUUGUCGAAGCUGCUCUCUGAUUACUACUGCUGCUGGGGGCGUCCGUCGCAAUAUAUCUUCUUAGAAGGAUCAGCGGCGUAUAGCCGUACGAGAAAGAGCAAUAACAGGUCUGUGAUGCCCUUAGAUGUUCUGGGCCGCACGCGCGCUACAAUGUAAGGACCAGCGUGUUUUCCCCCUCCGAAAGGAACGGGUAACCCGUGGAAAGCCCUACACGAUUGGGAUUGGGGAUUGCAAAUAUUUCCCAUAAACGAGGAAUUCCCAGUAAGCGCAAGUCAUUAACUAGCGUUGAUUACGUCCCUGCCCUUUGUACACACCGCCCGUCGCUACUACCGAUUGAAUGAUUCAGUGAGGGCAUCGGACUGGCGCCUUCGGUUUUGAAACAUAGACCUUAGGCUGACGGAAAGAUGUCCGAACUCGAUCAUUUAGAGGAAGUAAAAGUCGUAACAAGGUUUC